rnacentral:rRNA from 1 species
UUUGAAAGGCGCUUUCGGGUGUCGCUGAUGGAUGGACCCGCGGUGCAUUAGCUAGUUGGUGAGGUAACGGCUCACCAAGGCCACGAUGCAUAGCCGACCUGAGAGGGUGAUCGGCCACAUUGGGACUGAGACACGGCCCAAACUCCUACGGGAGGCAGCAGUAGGGAAUCUUCGGCAAUGGACGAAAGUCUGACCGAGCAACGCCGCGUGAGUGAAGAAGGUUUUCGGAUCGUAAAACUCUGUUGUUAGAGAAGAACAAGGAUGAGAGUAACUGUUCAUCCCUUGACGGUAUCUAACCAGAAAGCCACGGCUAACUACGUGCCAGCAGCCGCGGUAAUACGUAGUGGCAAGCGUUGUCCGGAUUUAUUGGGCGUAAAGCGAGCGCAGGCGGUUUCUUAAGUCUGAUGUGAAAGCCCCCGGCUCAACCGGGGAGGGUCAUUGGAAACUGGGAGACUUGAGUGCAGAAAGGAGAGUGAAUUCCAUGUGUAGCGGUGAAAUGCGUAGAUAUAUGGAGGAACACCAGUGGCGAAGCGGCUCUCUGGUCUGUAACUGACGCUGAGGCUCGAA